rnacentral:SRP_RNA from 2 species
GCCUUAAGGCAAGGUCGAAUUUACGAAUCGUGUCAGAUCCGGAAGGAAGCAGCACUAAGUUUACUUCGGUUUGUGCCUUAAGUUAUU